GCUAACUGAAAUCAUUAAUUGAAUAACUUCAAUAUGAUGUGGUAAGGGAAAAUAAUGAUACUACCUUACUUAUAGUGUUGUCUAAAGCUGGUGCCAGAAGACUCGGUAAAGCCAGAAACGCAAACGUUAAUCAUCAUAAACAGGCGUAAAGGGUUAGUAGGCUGCUUUUUAGUUAAUAAUUUAAUCUUAACCCCUUAAGUUUAAAAAUAAAAUAAUAAAAUUUUUUUAUUAGUUUAUUUAUAUUAAUCUUUAGAGCUAGAAUCAAAAAGAAGUUAAAAAGUAUAAUACUUAGAGUAGGGAUAAUAUCUGGAGAUACUAGGCGGAAUACUAAAGGUGUAAACAACUAACUAUAAAUGAUUGACGCUGAGAGACGAAGGUGAGGACAGGAAAUAGGAUUAGAUACCCCGGUACCCCUCUCUGUAAACGAUGAAUGGUAAUCAUUAGUAUAUUACUGGUGGUAAAGUUAACACGUUAACCAUUCCGCCUUGGGAGUACGACUGCAAAGUUGAAAACAAAAAAAUUAGUCGGUCUCGAAGCAAACGGAGUGAAGCAUGU
rnacentral:rRNA from 1 species